AGAGCGAACGCUGGCGGCGUGCUUAACACAUGCAAGUCGAACGAGGUCUGUAGCAAUACAGAUACUCGUGGCGAACGGGUGCGUAACACGUGGAUAACCUUCCUUCAGGUGGGGAAUAACCCAGUGAAAAUUGGGCUAAUACCGCAUAACAUGACGAUGCCACAUGGUGUUGUCUUCAAAGGCGCAAGUCGCCAGAAGAGGGAUCCGCGGCCGAUUAGCUAGUUGGCGAGGUAAUGGCUCACCAAGGCAAUGAUCGGUAGCCGGACUGAGAGGUUGGCCGGCCACACUGGAACUGAGACACGGUCCAGACUCCUACGGGAGGCAGCAGUGGGGAAUCUUGCACAAUGGACGAAAGUCUGAUGCAGCAACGCCGCGUGGGGAUGAAGCUUUCGGAGUGUAACCCCUUCGACCCGGAGAAACGCCGCAAGGGUUUGACGGUACGGGUAUAAGAAGCCCCGGCUAACUACGUGCCAGCAGCCGCGGU
rnacentral:rRNA from 1 species